rnacentral:rRNA from 1 species
CCUACGGGGGGCAGCAGUGGGGAAUAUUGGACAAUGGGGGGAACCCUGAUCCAGCCAUGCCGCGUGUGUGAAGAAGGCCCUCGGGUUGUAAAGCACUUUCAGUGAGGAAGAACGCCUGGUGGUUAAUACCCAUCAGGAAAGACAUCACUCACAGAAGAAGCACCGGCUAACUCCGUGCCAGCAGCCGCGGUAAUACGGAGGGUGCGAGUGUUAAUCGGAAUUACUGGGCGUAAAGCGCGCGUAGGUGGCUUGAUAAGCCGGUUGUGAAAGCCCCGGGCUCAACCUGGGAACGGCAUCCGGAACUGUCAAGCUAGAGUGCAGGAGAGGAAGGUAGAAUUCCCGGUGUAGCGGUGAAAUGCGUAGAGAUCGGGAGGAAUACCAGUGGCGAAGGCGGCCUUCUGGACUGACACUGACACUGAGGUGCGAAAGCGUGGGUAGCAAACAGGAUUAGAUACCCCAGUAGUC